AGGGUUGUAGCUCAGUGGCAGAGUGCUUGCCUUGCACAUAUGAGGCUCUGGGUUCAAUCCUCAGCACCACAU
rfam:Ictidomys tridecemlineatus contig039479, whole genome shotgun sequence.